CAUGGAAUUUUUAGGUAAUGACUAAAAGUUAGUUGUUGCAAAUGAGCCUUGUUUAUAGGCAGAAGGCCACAUGCCAUCUGGCAGUAAAGGGUAGCUGUCUCACCUCGGACACAGACAUUGAUUGAAAGACAGGCUGCAGUUUCAAAGGACUGCACUGACUCAACUUCCACAUUGUGGGAUGGAAUAGGCGGCUGUCUCAUUUACAUACCAGAACUGAUGUCAUUAUUCUGAGGGCUCAUGGUUAUGCCUGACAAUGCCCAAUGUAGAUGGUGUGGUGCAUCUGGGCAGGGCGUGGCAGGGGUGAUGUGUCAUCCCAGAGGUGUCAGAAACUCAUCCUGAGCAGUAGGGAUAGUACAAGCACAGGGUGGAUCUGCAUGGUCCUGUCACUAACCCCCGAGGCCAGAGAGGCAGUCCAGACUUGGAGAUUUCAGUUCUUCGAGAAAUGGAAAUGUACAUAAUGAAUUAGAUUGAACAAAAAAAUAUAUAGCUGCUAUUCGAGUCAUUGUCCAUUACUCUGAGGUAGUUGUUUUCUUCUUUGGUGAGUCUGGACUUCAGGCAGCAUGUCAAACAAAUCCCUCACGCCUUCUCGAGAUCCAUAAGGAGAAGGCUUUCCUGCAACAGAAACUCUCGUCUUCACUAUACAGGUCCUGCAGACUUCUUCCUGAUGUCCAUGAGGAAGAAGCAAGACAUGUUAGAAGGCUAUUGUGAUAGCCAUGUAAGAGAUGCGUGUGGCUUGGACCAGUUGGCCAUGGAUGUGAGUGAGGGUGGAAUCUGGUUGCCUGUUGAAGGCAGAGCCCAAGGAUUGUCUGAGGAAGCCCAUGUAGGGUAUGAAAGGCAAGAGUCAAGAACCACCCCAAGGCUUUUGGCUAAGGUUACUGAGUUUCUGCUCUGCUCCAGACUCUAUGUUCAGCACUUUUUACUUAUCUCACUCAUUGAAUCAUGAAGCGAUAGUGGGUUAGGUAUAAAG